UCAGGGUUUUUCCCCGACUGGGAGCUUAACGCUAAAUGUGACAGAUAGCCAAUCAGAAAGCGCGGAUUCUUCUUCGUUUAUCGCGACUGGCCUACAUAUGGCGCUUAAAUCAGUAUUUAAAAUGCUUCUCUAAACAACAGUGUUGGAAGAUAUGAAGUGUCCCAGAGAGCACAUCAAAGCAUUGCCUUAUAAUUUCAGACAGACAGUUAAGAGAUAAAUGAUUCACCAUGUUGCCCUGACUGACGUGGAUCUUCAUGGAGACAGACAACUUGCUCUCCAGAUGUUUGGCAGCGGAGAGAUAAAAAUGUGACAGAACCUUCCAUGAUUGCUCACUGUGUCAGAGGUUAUUUUCCGGGGACCUGCGAGCUGAAAUAACCCUUCAGUUUUGUCAGGUGAUCUGAUGAUAAAUGCUUCCAAAUCACCAUUCAGAGGAAAAACUGAAGACACUUCUCCUGACCAAUCAAAACAGUCACAGAGGAAGUUUACCUGUUUUUCAUUCAGGUUGUGCUACUGGCUGUCCUCAUGAAGUGUGUCGAAGAGCGGUGGUAAUAACAAAAAGAUGAAGCUUAAAAUCACUAUGCUGGAGGCAUAAAAGUAAUGAGUACAUUUCAAUGUGGAACAACUCAACAAUAAACAUUUAAAUAUCACUCA